AUAAAGAAAGAACAGGUUUAAAUCAGAGCUAAACAAUAUGUUGGGGUUAAUUAAAUCUUAUGCUUUUCUCCCAACACUUGCUCAUACCGCACUCUGAGAACAAGCAGGACGUAACAAGAGAGAAACUGGAACCCAGCUGUGAAAGCACGGCUACGGAACUGGCAGCCACCUCCGCCACCAUGGAUACAGGAAUGAGAACCGAGGCUCCAAAGCUGGACAGAGGGAGGUCGUGCUACUCAAGUGAUCACGAAACUUACGAAGUCACCGCCUUCUGUAGGAAUGAGGACAUUCAUCUCAGAAGAUUUGGCACUGACUAUCUCACAAUCCAGGGAAUUCUUGCUCAGGUAAAUGUGGCAGCCGUCUGUUUUGUUGAUCGAAAUGGUUGGCACUUUACCCAUUACCUG